rnacentral:rRNA from 1 species
CCUGGCUCAGGACGAACGCUGGCGGCGCGCCUAACACAUGCAAGUCGAACGAGAGAUGAGGAGCUUGCUCUUCAGAUCGAGUGGCGAACGGGUGAGUAACGCGUGAGGAACCUGCCUCAAAGAGGGGGACAACAGUUGGAAACGACUGCUAAUACCGCAUAAGCCCACGGCUCGGCAUCGAGCAGAGGGAAAAGGAGCAAUCCGCUUUGAGAUGGCCUCGCGUCCGAUUAGCUGGUUGGUGAGGUAACGGCCCACCAAGGCGACGAUCGGUAGCCGGACUGAGAGGUUGAACGGCCACAUUGGGACUGAGACACGGCCCAGACUCCUACGGGAGGCAGCAGUGGGGAAUAUUGCACAAUGGGGGAAACCCUGAUGCAGCGACGCCGCGUGGAGGAAGAAGGUCUUCGGAUUGUAAACUCCUGUUGUUGAGGAAGAUAAUGACGGUACUCAACAAGGAAGUGACGGCUAACUACGUGCCAGCAGCCGCGGUAAAACGUAGGUCACAAGCGUUGUCCGGAAUUACUGGGUGUAAAGGGAGCGCAGGCGGGAGAACAAGUUGGAAGUGAAAUCCAUGGGCUCAACCCAUGAACUGCUUUCAAAACUGUUUUUCUUGAGUAGUGCAGAGGUAGGCGGAAUUCCCGGUGUAGCGGUGGAAUGCGUAGAUAUCGGGAGGAACACCAGUGGCGAAGGCGGCCUACUGGGCACCAACUGACGCUGAGGCUCGAAAGUGUGGGUAGCAAACAGGAUUAGAUACCCUGGUAGUCCACACCGUAAACGAUGAUUACUAGGUGUUGGAGGAUUGACCCCUUCAGUGCCGCAGUUAACACAAUAAGUAAUCCACCUGGGGAGUACGACCGCAAGGUUGAAACUCAAAGGAAUUGACGGGGGCCCGCACAAGCAGUGGAGUAUGUGGUUUAAUUCGACGCAACGCGAAGAACCUUACCAAGUCUUGACAUCCCUUGACGAACAUAGAAAUAUGUUUUCUCUUCGGAGCAAGGAGACAGGUGGUGCAUGGUUGUCGUCAGCUCGUGUCGUGAGAUGUUGGGUUAAGUCCCGCAACGAGCGCAACCCUUAUGGUCAGUUACUACGCAAGAGGACUCUGGCCAGACUGCCGUUGACAAAACGGAGGAAGGUGGGGAUGACGUCAAAUCAUCAUGCCCUUUAUGACUUGGGCUACACACGUACUACAAUGGCGUUAAACAAAGAGAAGCAAGACCGCGAGGUGGAGCAAAACUCAGAAACAACGUCCCAGUUCGGACUGCAGGCUGCAACUCGCCUGCACGAAGUCGGAAUUGCUAGUAAUCGUGGAUCAGCAUGCCACGGUGAAUACGUUCCCGGGCCUUGUACACACCGCCC